rnacentral:rRNA from 1 species
GUCUAUGACCAUAUCACCCUGAACACGCCCCAUCUCGUCUGGUCUCGGAAUCUAAGCAGGGUCUGUCCUACAUUGGAGAAAAUGAAGUUGGCAUAGUUC